rnacentral:lncRNA from 1 species
GCAACUCUCGCCAAUCUCUUCUGACACGAGCUAUAGAACGCAUCAAUCUCUGCACCUCCUCUCAACAAAUCUUUUCUCUGUCCUAGAAGAAAAAUCUAUUUGUUUAACAAGAUAAAAACCGAGCCCCACACCGUAUAGCAUAACCGAGCAAGAUGAACUUUUAUCAGAUUUUGGUGGUGGUGAUGGCGGUGAUGCUGGCGCUGGUGAGUGCAGCUCCCCAGCUCGUCACCAGCAAGAGGAAGUUUCCUGGCCAGCGUAGGCUGGGGGCCACCAACUACGGCCUACAUUCUUUCGGCAAACGAGGAUUCAAAAACAGAAGAACCUAAUGCUCGAAGAUCCUUGGAGCCUGACAUGUCGCUCCCGUCACACAUGACUCUUUCCAGCAGCAAACUUCCGUCCGCGCCUUGAAUUCUCAAGGACUUGAUUGCUUAGGGUCGGAGGAAAAGUCUAAUUUACAAAAACCUGAAUGUUAGGGGUCAAAAAAAUUUCUAAUUCUGAAGAAAUUAAUUGCUUGAGGUAAGACAAAAUAUAUAUUUUGAACCGUUUCUAGUUACUAGUUAUACUAGUUAUACAUACAGUAUCGUUGGAACUGUAGACUUCAUACUGAGAAUAUUUCGCUCACUUUGAAAUGAGUUGAACACGAGGUAAAGUUAACCAAAUACCAUUUUUAAGUUUCUACUCGCAAUUAGAAAGCGUUCACUAAUUUACUUCUCACCAAUACAAUUAUGUAAUCAUAUACUCACUAUUCCUACCGAGUUAAAUGCUCGACUUCUAAUGCGCUAUAUCCGAGGCCACUCCACAUUAAUGAUACCAUUUUGUUCAAGCCAAAAACAGGAAAAAUUCGCGCUCUGCGAUCCAAUAAAGUCAAAUUUUCAAAAACUUGUUGCUUAAGCAGUGAGCUAAUAAAUGAGUACCUAAUUCGUUCAUAAAUAUACGAAUAUGUGAUACAUACUCUUAAGCUACGCAAUUAUUAUGAAAAUUGUUCAAUGUAUUCAUUCGUGUGGUUAGCAAUUCCUAUGAUUCAAAGCUUUAAUAUUUAUUAUAAUUAGUGUUUUCUGUACAUAUUCAACUUUGAAAAACUGAUAUAUAAUACAUAUAAUAAAUUAUGCACCGUUUAUAAUAAUACGCAUUAUUCGUCUAUUGAGUGUUGCAGUAGAUAUUUUGGUCAACACCGCCCUAAUGAUAAUUUGUAAUGCUCAAAAUUGCCUUGUAUUAAUGCGUUUGAAAUCAAUGGCCGUUGCUAUGCUAUUUAAAACCAAAAGAAGCAAUUGUUUUUACUGUGUGAGGUCAUUAUAGUUAUAGAUAAAUUAAUGUAUUUGGAUGAUUUUGAUUUUGUAAUACAGAUGAAAAUUUCAAUAAAUAAUUUUUGUCCUACUUUCAUCCUCACCGGAUACGAGUGUACAUCAGCAAAAAAUUAGAAAAGUGAUUAAUUACUGAAAAAUGGAUUGCGAAGUGCUUGAGAAAAACACCCUUCGGAUUUAUCAUUAAAUCUAAUUUGUUGUAUCACAUACUCGGUCAUACUAAAUUUUUGGACUGGAAAUAUUUAACACUGCCAUCAUUACGCAUUCGCCUCAUAUCAGUUUAAUUGCGAAAAACGUUCGUUAAAAUAUUUAAAACUGAAGAACUGCCACUGCCGCGUCUCCCGCGUUACCAGAUGACGGCGUUGCGUUUUUAGCGAAUUUUGACAUGCAGUUAUUCACGUCUCCGAUUUCUUGCGACAGUAGUUUGCCCACAAAACGAAAAUAUUUAAGUAGAAAUUUUAGGUUAAACUAUAUCAUGAAAUCCAUUAUUUAUUUAAAUACAAACAAACUUUUAUUGAAUUAUACGGUAAUGUUCUCAAAGUUCGUAAAGUUUGCUAUAUAUGAUUGCAAUUUUUCCGGUAAGCUUUACCAACGACUUUUUCCGAAACUUUACCUAUAUAUGAAUACAGAAUAAAAGAAUAUU